GGAUCAGACUGUCGGUCGUGCCUCGGUACGCACUGGCAUUAUUGGUUCCUACCUUCUGAAGAACCGCGAUGUCAUUAAUUUGGUGUCGUGGGGAAUCAGGACUGUUACUUUGAAAAAAUUAGAGUGUUUAAAGCAGGCAUUAGCUUGAAUACAUUAGCAUGGAAUAAUGAAAUAGGACGUUUGAUCCUAUUUUGUUGGUUUCUAGGAUUGACGUA
rnacentral:rRNA from 1 species